rnacentral:misc_RNA from 1 species
GAUGAAGAACGUAUCGAAAUGCGAUAAGUAAUGUGAAUUGCAGAAUUCAGUGAAUCAUCGAAUCUUUGAACGCACAUUGCGCCCCCUGGUAUUCCGGGGGGCAUGCCUGUUCGAGCGUCAUUUCAACCCUCAAGCUCUGCUUGGUAUUGAGUCCAUGUCAGCAAUGGCAGGCUCCAAAAUCAGUGGCGGCGCCGCUGGGUCCUGAACGUAGUAAUAUCUCUCGUUACAGGUGCUCGGCGUGCUUCUGCCAAAACCCCAAUUUUUCUAUGGUUGACCUCGGAUCAGGUAGGGAUACCCGCUGAACUUAAGCAUAUCAAUAAGCGGAGGA